rnacentral:lncRNA from 1 species
GAUGUUAAAAAAGAAAAAUUUUAAUAGAAGAAAAUUUGGGAUAAAAUUAAGGAAAAUCGAUAGACAUAUAGAGAAGUUUAUAACAGCUUGCUAUUUAAGGCUUAUGGGCUUAGGUGGGCCUAAAGGAGUCUAAUGGACUCUAUUUCAGUUCAAUUUUGGAGUUAAAUGGAAAAAGGAUGGAUAAGGAUGAGGAAGCAAAUAGAAGACCGUUGGAUUAAUCGGGCCCAUUUUUGUCUUUGUAUGUGUGAAAAUAACCCUUAGCCAUUCAGUUUUUCCCCUUUGAACUUUGACCGUCUAAUCUAAGAUUUCAUUAAUGGCUUUUUGGUCUUUUUACAUUUCCUUAAAUUUUGGCUUUAGAUCAUUUUAGGCAAGAUGCAAUCUAGACUGUCCAUUUGACUUUUAGUCAUGAAAGGAUUUGGGUCCUUCAAUCAGAUGAUAUGGGAGUGAAUGGGUUUUGGUCGUCCAAUCUAGCCCACGAACGAUAGGGGUGAACUUUGCUUUAGACACUGCUUAUUUUU